GGGCCCGCACAAGCAGUGGAGCAUGUGGUUUAAUUCGAUGCAACGCGAAGAACCUUACCAACACUUGACAUGUUCGUCGCGACUCUAAGAGAUUAGAGUUUUCGGUUCGGCCGGACGAAACACAGGUGCUGCAUGGCUGUCGUCAGCUCGUGUCGUGAGAUGUUGGGUUAAGUCCCGCAACGAGCGCAACCCUCACUUUUAGUUGCCAUCAUUAAGUUGGGCACUCUGAAAGAACUGCCAGUGAUAAGCUGGAGGAAGGUGGGGAUGACGUCAAGUCCUCAUGGCCCUUACGUGUUGGGCUACACACGUGCUACAAUGGUAUCUACAACAGGAAGCAAAACUGCGAAGUUAAGCAAAUCCCUAAAAGAUACCUCAGUUCGGAUUGCACUCUGCAACUCGAGUGCAUGAAGCUGGAAUUACUAGUAAUCG
rnacentral:rRNA from 1 species